AGAGUUUGAUCCUGGCUCAGGAUGAACGCUGGCGGCGUGCUUAACACAUGCAAGUCGAACGGACCCAUAUUGAAACCUGGUGAUAUAUGGGUUAGUGGCGGACGGGUGAGUAACGCGUGGGCAACCUGCCUUACACAGGGGGAUAACACUUAGAAAUAGGUGCUAAAACCGCAUAAGCGCACAGCUUCGCAUGAAGCGGUGUGAAAAACUCCGGUGGUGUAAGAUGGACCCGCGUCUGAUUAGCUUGUUGGCGGGGUAACGGCCCACCAAGGCGACGAUCAGUAGCCGGCCUGAGAGGGCGGACGGCCACAUUGGGACUGAGACACGGCCCAGACUCCUACGGGAGGCAGCAGUGGGGAAUAUUGCACAAUGGGGGAAACCCUGAUGCAGCGACGCCGCGUGAGCGAAGAAGUAAUUCGUUACGUAAAGCUCUAUCAGCAGGGAAGAAAAUGACGGUACCUGAGUAAGAAGCCCCGGCUAACUACGUG
rnacentral:rRNA from 1 species